AUUGAACGCUGGCGGCAGGCUUAACACAUGCAAGUCGAACGAGUGGCGGAAGGGUGAGUAAUGUCUGGGAAACUCCCUUAUGGAGGGGGAUAACUACGGGAAACUGUAGCUAAUACCGCGUACCAUCGGAUGAGCCCACAUGGGAUUAGCUAGUUGGUGGGGUAAAGGCUCACCAAGCCGACGAUCCCUAGCUGGUCUGAGAGGAUGACCAGCCACACGGGAACUGAGACACGGCCCAGACUCCUACGGGAGGCAGCAGUGGGGAAGAUUGCGCAAUGGGGGCAACCUGACGCAGCCAUGCCGCGUGAAUGAAGAAGGCCUUCGGGUUGUAAAGUUCUUUCGGUAGCGAGGCGUUACCUACAGAAGAAGCACCGGCUAACUCCGUGCCAGCAGCCGCGGUAAUUC
rnacentral:rRNA from 1 species